GGGCCCGUGGCUUAGCCUGGCUAUAGCGUCGGUCUUAUACACCGAAGGUCGCAGGUUCAAAUCCUGUCGGGCCCACCA
rnacentral:tRNA from 1 species